GCCCUCUCAGGGUGGCACCUGGAGACUUUCCAGUACUCUACCAGUCUUGAAUACAGGAGGAAGAGUCAAGAAGAGGCAUACCCAUUCCACUCCUAGCUUGGCCAAUGGCUAGCGAGUGGAAGGCAAUCUGCUUCAGGU